rnacentral:sRNA from 1 species
CUUCCAUAACAAAGGAGCAUAUCCCCUCAGUAUUGAGCCGAUUGGGGUGAGAUUCAAUAAGAACAACGAGGGCACAUACUAUUCCCCAAAUUACAACCCCCAGAGCAGAAGUGUGCCUCCUUCAGCCUCCCAUGUGGCACCCACAGAAACAUUCACCUAUGAAUGGACUGUCCCCAAAGAAGUAGGACCCACUAAUGCAGAUCCUGUGUGUCUAGCUAAGAUGUAUUAUUCUGCUGUGGAUCCCACUAAAGAUAUAUUCACUGGGCUUAUUGGGCCAAUGAAAAUAUGCAAGAAAGGAAGUUUACAUGCAAAUGGGAGACAGAAAGAUGUAGACAAGGAAUUCUAUUUGUUUCCUACAGUAUUUGAUGAGAAUGAGAGUUUACUCCUGGAAGAUAAUAUUAGAAUGUUUACAACUGCACCUGAUCAGGUGGAUAAGGAAGAUGAAGACUUCCAGGAAUCUAAUAAAAUGCACUGUAAGUACCGCAUCAUCCCCCAAUCUACCAAGUUAUUUUAGUACUGCAUAUGUAAUGCUUUUAACUAAACAAAAUGUGAAGAGCUUUGCUCAUUAUUUUUUCAAUAAACGAUUACAAUAGUAUCCUGAA